CUACUGGGGUAUCUAAUCCUGUUUGCUACCCACGCUUUCGCGCUUCAGCGUCAGUAUCUGUCCAGUAAGCUGGCUUCCCCAUCGGCAUUCCUACAAAUAUCUACGAAUUUCACCUCUACACUUGUAGUUCCGCUUACCUCUCCAGUACUCUAGUUACACAGUUUCCAACGCAAUACAGAGUUGAGCCCUGCAUUUUCACAUCAGACUUACAUAACCACCUAGACGCGCUUUACGCCCAAUAAAUCCGGAUAACGCUUGUGACAUACGUAUUACCGCGGCUGCUGGCAC
rnacentral:rRNA from 1 species